AUUGGACGCUGGCGGCAUGCUUUACACAUGCAAGUCGAACGGUAACAGGCCGCAAGGUGCUGACGAGUGGCGAACGGGUGAGUAAUGCAUCGGAACGUGCCCAGUCGUGGGGGAUAACGCAGCGAAAGCUGCGCUAAUACCGCAUACGAUCUGUGGAUGAAAGCGGGGGACCGAAAGGCCUCGCGCGAUUGGAGCGGCCGAUGUCAGAUUAGGUAGUUGGUGGGGUAAAGGCCCACCAAGCCAACGAUCUGUAGCUGGUCUGAGAGGACGACCAGCCACACUGGGACUGAGACACGGCCCAGACUCCUACGGGAGGCAGCAGUGGGGAAUUUUGGACAAUGGGCGCAAGCCUGAUCCAGCAAUGCCGCGUGCAGGAAGAAGGCCUUCGGGUUGUAAACUGCUUUUGUACGGAACGAAACGGCUCUGGUUAAUACCUGGGGCUAAUGACGGUACCGUAAGAAUAAGCACCGGCUAACUACGUGCCAGCAGCCGCCGUAAUAC
rnacentral:rRNA from 1 species